rnacentral:rRNA from 1 species
UACGUAGGUGGCAAGCGUUGUCCGGAUUUAUUGGGCUUAAAGGGUGCGUAGGCGGCCCUAUAAGUCAGUGCUGAAAUAUCCCGGCUUAACCGGGAGGGUGGCAUUGAUACUGUAGGGCUUGAGUGUAGUCGAGGUAGGCGGAAUUGACGGUGUAGCGGUGAAAUGCGUAGAUAUCAGGAGGAACACCCGUAGCGAAGGCGGCACUCUGGGCCGAUACUGACACUGAGGAGCGAAAGCGUGGGGAGCGAACAGG